AAUAGAUACCACGGUAGUCCACGCCGUAAACGAUGAGUGCUAAGUGUUAGAGGGUUUCCGCCCGUUUAGUGCUGCAGCUAACGCAUUAAGCACUCCGCCUGGGGAGUACGGUCGCAAGACUGAAACUCAAAGGAAUUGACGGGGGCCCGCACAAGCGGUGGAGCAUGUGGUUUAAUUCGAAGCAACGCGAAGAACCUUACCAGGUCUUGACAUCCUCUGACAACUCUAGAGAUAGAGCGUUCCCCUUCGGGGGACAGAGUGACAGGUGGUGCAUGGUUGUCGUCAGCUCGUGUCGUGAGAUGUUGGGUUAAGUCCCGCAACGAGCGCAACCCUUGAUCUUAGUUGCCAGCAUUCAGUUGGGCACUCUAAGGUGACUGCCGGUGACAAACCGGAGGAAGGUGGGGAUGACGUCAAAUCAUCAUGCCCCUUAUGACCUGGGCUACACACGUGCUACAAUGGAUGGUACAAAGGGCUGCAAGACCGCGAGGUCAAGCCAAUCCCAUAAAACCAUUCUCAGUUCGGAUUGGU
rnacentral:rRNA from 1 species